AUUGAACGCUAGCGGCAUGCCUUACACAUGCAAGUCGAACGGCAGCGCGGACUUCGGUCUGGCGGCGAGUGGCGAACGGGUGAGUAAUGCAUCGGAACGUGCCCAGUAGCGGGGGAUAACUACGCGAAAGCGUAGCUAAUACCGCAUACGCCCUACGGGGGAAAGGGGGGGAUCGCAAGACCUCUCACUAUUGGAGCGGCCGAUGUCGGAUUAGCUAGUUGGUGGGGUAAAGGCCUACCAAGGCGACGAUCCGUAGCUGGUUUGAGAGGACGACCAGCCACACUGGGACUGAGACACGGCCCAGACUCCUACGGGAGGCAGCAGUGGGGAAUUUUGGACAAUGGGGGCAACCCUGAUCCAGCCAUGCCGCGUGUGCGAAGAAGGCCUUCGGGUUGUAAAGCACUUUUGGCAGGAAAGAAACGGCGCCGGAUAAUACCUGGCGUAACUGACGGUACCUGCAGAAUAAGCACCGGCUAACUACGUGCCAGCAGCCGCGGUAAUACGUAGGGUGCAAGCGUUAAUCGGAAUUACUGGGCGUAAAGCGUGCGCAGGCGGUUCGGAAAGAAAGAUGUGAAAUCCCAGGGCUCAACCUUGGAACUGCAUUUUUAACUCCCGAACUAGAGUAUGUCAGAGGGGGGUGGAAUUCCACGUGUAGCAGUGAAAUGCGUAGAUAUGUGGAGGAACACCGAUGGCGAAGGCAGCCCCCUGGGAUAAUACUGACGCUCAUGCACGAAAGCGUGGGGAGCAAACAGGAUUAGAUACCCUGGUAGUCCACGCCCUAAACGAUGUCAACUAGCUGUUGGGUUCUUCGGAGCUUGGUAGCGCAGCUAACGCGUGAAGUUGACCGCCUGGGGAGUACGGUCGCAAGAUUAAAACUCAAAGGAAUUGACGGGGACCCGCACAAGCGGUGGAUGAUGUGGAUUAAUUCGAUGCAACGCGAAAAACCUUACCUACCCUUGACAUGUCUGGAAUCCUGAAGAGAUUUAGGAGUGCUCGAAAGAGAACCGGAACACAGGUGCUGCAUGGCCGUCGUCAGCUCGUGUCGUGAGAUGUUGGGUUAAGUCCCGCAACGAGCGCAACCCUUGUCAUUAGUUGCUACGAAAGGGCACUCUAAUGAGACUGCCGGUGACAAACCGGAGGAAGGUGGGGAUGACGUCAGGUCCUCAUGGCCCUUAUGGGUAGGGCUUCACACGUCAUACAAUGGUCGGGACAGAGGGCAGCCAACCCGCGAGGGGGAGCCAAUCCCAGAAACCCGAUCGUAGUCCGGAUUGCAGUCUGCAACUCGACUGCAUGAAGUCGGAAUCGCUAGUAAUCGCGGAUCAGCAUGUCGCGGUGAAUACGUUCCCGGGUCUUGUACACACCGCCCGUCACACCAUGGGAGUGGGUUCUACCAGAAGUAGGUGGCCUAACCGUAAGGAGGGCGCUUACCACGGUAGGGUUCAUGACUGGGGUGAAGUCGUAACAAGGUAGCCGUGCCGGAAG
rnacentral:rRNA from 1 species